rnacentral:lncRNA from 1 species
UCAAUGAGUUUAAAUAGAUGAGUAAGUUUUAAAGUGGUGGUAGUUGGAAUGUAGGAGAUUUAAAAUGGGUUUAAUGAGUUUAGAAUAAUGAGGGUGAUUAGAACUAGAAAAGAGAGAAAGAGGAAAAACAUUCAGACAGCUUCUGACAGUCAACUCCUGACGGGCGUCAAGUGGAUGACGCCUAGGGCGUUACUUCACAAGGAAUCAUUUUUCUUGUUUAUAAAGUCAAACAUUG